CGGGUCGGUGGCUUUGAUCGGUUUCGCGGCAGCUGGCCAAACUAUACCGAUGAUGCGGAAGCUUGUGAGAGACAGCAUUGAAAGUGGCUCCGCCAGGACCAUCUGGACGAUGAGCACCUUAUCAGCAUCGAUUGUUUUCCUCUCCUCAACUCUCGCUUGCGGAGCUUGUCUGAUGACUGGGUUCGUACACGACCUCUUUGGAGACAGACUACUCGCCUACUGUAUGCUCGGUAUAAACGCUUCAUGGCUCAUCGUCAGAAUGCUGUGCCUGAUCAUACCAUGCUUCUUCUGUAAGAAGCGCGACGAGGAUCUCGAAGAGAGCGAAGAUUGACAGGGAGCGAGACAAAGAAGGGUUCGAUCCCGUGUGACCCGAUCGAGCUUCAAGCCGCAAGGAUCGCUGCUCGAAGCUCUACCCUGCUGCACUCAAACCGCUUCCGAUCGUCAACUAGCCUUGCGGCAAAAGCUCCCUGUUAGUCGAU